AGGACUCGGUUUCCCGAGAGCCUUCCAAGCCUUUGCCGUACAGUUACCUUAUUUCCACGAUCACUCUGUGAGAAGGUUACUAUUUCCAAGGUGGGGACACUGAGUCAGGGCAGAGAGGACUGUUUUGGCAACACCUACAACACCCACUGGCUUCUUGGAACCUAUCCUAGAGAAAUACACAGAAGCAUGUGGGACGUACGCACAUGAUGUUUACCGCAACACCAGUGCUUUGUACGUCGAAACGGGUCGCAUCUGAGCGGUCGGAGUGCUUGAACUACCAGAAGGGAAGGAUGAUGAGACUUGCACGGUAUUCCUCAAAUCCGGGGGCGUCCAGCGCUUUGUGUGUUAGCUACACCCAACAACCCGGUGGAGUGGGGAAACUGAGGCCCCACCGACGAUCGAGCCCUUUGGAUUCCUACACAACGAUUUAUGUUCCUGCCUUUUGGGAUCUCAGCCUCUGAGGACAUUUACCACAUUGUACUGUAACUGUGUGUACAAACCCCAUGCUGGUCAGAUGUGGUCUGCACAAAACGGAGAAUCCAGCACUAAAAAAUGGGGCUUGCAUUUUAUAUG